AUGAACUGCUAAAACCGCAUAAGCGCACAUUGUCGAGUGACAGAGUGUGAAAAACUCCGGUGGUAUGAGAUGGACCCGCGUUUGAUUAGCUAGUUGGUGAGGUAACGGCCCACCAAGGCGACGAUCAGUAGCCGGCCUGAGAGGGCGACCGGCCACAUUGGGACUGAGACACGGCCCAAACUCCUACGGGAGGCAGCAGUGGGGAAUAUUGCACAAUGGGGGAAACCCUGAUGCAGCGACGCCGCGUGAGUGAAGAAGUAUUUCGGUAUGUAAAGCUCUAUCAGCAGGGAAGAAGAAAGACGGUACCUGACUAAGAAGCCCCGGCUAACUACGUGCCAGCAGCCGCGGUAAUACGUAGGGGGCAAGCGUUAUCCGGAUUUACUGGGUGUAAAGGGAGCGUAGACGGCUGUGCAAGUCUGAAGUGAAAGCCCAGGGCUCAACCCUGGGACUGCUUUGGAAACUGUGAAGCUAGAGUGCUGGAGAGGUAAGUGGAAUUCCUAGUGUAGCGGUGAAAUGCGUAGAUAUUAGGAGGAACACCAGUGGCGAAGGCGGCUUACUGGACAGUAACUGACGUUGAGGCUCGAAAGCGUGGGGGAGCAAACAGGAUUAGAUACCCUGGUAGUCCACGCGGUAAACGAUGAAUACUAGGUGUUGGAGAGCAAAGCUUUUCGGUGCCGUCGCAAACGCAAUAAGUAUUCCACCUGGGGAGUACGUUCGCAAGAAUGAAACUCAAAGGAAUUGACGGGGACCCGCACAAGCGGUGGAGCAUGUGGUUUAAUUCGAAGCAACGCGAAGAACCUUACCAAGUCUUGACAUCGGAAUGACGCAGGAGUAACGUCCUGUUUCCCUCGGGACAUUCCAGACAGGUGGUGCAUGGUUGUCGUCAGCUCGUGUCGUGAGAUGUUGGGUUAAGUCCCGCAACGAGCGCAACCCUUAUCCUUAGUAGCCAGCAGGUAGAGCUGGGCACUCUAGGGAGACUGCCAGGGAUAACCUGGAGGAAGGUGGGGAUGACGUCAAAUCAUCAUGCCCCUUAUGAUUUGGGCUACACACGUGCUACAAUGGCGUAAACAAAGGGAAGCGAGAGCGUGAGCUGGAGCAAAUCCCAAAAAUAACGUCUCAGUUCGGACUGCAGGCUGCAACCCGCCUGCACGAAGCUGGAAUCGCUAGUAAU
rnacentral:rRNA from 1 species